GAGCUCGGCGCCGGCUCCAUCCAUGGCAGAGGCAGCUCCGCCGCUGGCAGCCGGCACGAGCACAGCCCCGGCAGCCUGGCCCGCGGCGCAGCCAUCGCUCGUCGUUUAAAUGCCUUCUUCCCCCGGUGAUGCGGAUGCGGAGAAGGCAGCAACCCCCCCCCCGGCUGUGCGCUCCCUGCCCUGGCUGCUCCUGUGCGCGGCGGGGAGCGCUGCUUAGGGGACAGAGCAGCCGGGAGGGGUGACACGGGGCGGGGGACAGCGCGGAAGGGCUGCGGUUCGCGCCUCCACGGGGCAUGUCACGCGUGGGAGCGGCUCUCCAGGAGCAGAAAGCAAAGUCUCUCGCAAUGAAUCCACGGCAGCUUCGAUUGAGCAGUGAGCUGGAGCACCUACCCACAGGCCACUCCUCGAUGUGACUGCGAAGAGGCCCUUGCCAGCACUGGGAGAGCAGAGCUGUGGAUUUACCCCCCAUGCAACCACAUCCCCCUGGCACCACGAGCACACGACAUCUGAUGGAUACUGUGUCCAUGGCCACAGAUCUGGCAGUUGCUGCCAGAUGCACCACAAAGCUUCCUGAAAUGUUUGGCAAAUGCUUUCCAGGUGGGUAUCUGCAGCAUAAAACAGGGGACAAUGUGCUCCUGUGGAUCAGAUGCAGACCUGAAAUGACCAUUGCAAAAUGUGAAGAGUGUUUGCCCUCUGGGGAAAAGAAGAAGAUGAGAUGUGGGGCACAGUAUCACAGGGAGCAUGAAGUUAAUCUUACACCAAAGGAGAGGGAUUUGUGGGGGAAGAAGGGGAUGCCUCAGGAAGAAUUAUUUGGGAUCUGUGCAAAAAGCAGGUGGGACUUCACACCUCAUAGGAUUGAGGCUGGGCUGUUUAUAUCAGCUCGCCUUGCCUGGAUUUUAUUCUGGCGAUGAACGUGUUCUGAAAACAAACAGAACAUCGAGGAGGAAACUUGUGGAGCGAGUGACUGUUUUUUUGGUUGCUAAGCC
rnacentral:lncRNA from 1 species